AGAACAGUCUAUCUUACAGAUAACUUUAACACCAUAUCAAUGUAAUAAAUGGACUUUAUAAUAAAUAAUUGCAGCCAUAAAGAGCUUUUAUCCAAAGGGACGUACAAAUAAGUGCAACCAGCUUUGGACUGAAAGCAAACUGUUGAAGCGGCACGUUUGUGAACUAGAGCAGAGCUGGACUGAUCCAUCACAUGAGCAGGUCAUUCAGAGCAGGUUUGCAAUAAG